rnacentral:lncRNA from 1 species
AUACUCUAACACAAGAAAACUUCAAAUAUCAUUCUUAUGUUUUCACACUUUUUUAUUUUAGUACCUUAUGAUUUAAAGGGUAUUAAUUUAGUAUCCUGUGAUUUUAUUUUUCUCUUUUCACUAUUCCCUCUACUAAUUUUUUUCGUUAAAUUAGUGACAAAGUUUUUUUUUUUUUUUUGAAGGGAUAGGUAGCAUGCUAUCCGCUUCGUUUAUUUCAUUUAGAAAGAAGCUUAGCUAGAAAUGUGAAUCAACUAGCAUUCGAUCUUGGGACCUCGAGUACCAACCACCAAGCCCUUUACCACUUGCGCUAGAUAUGGUCGGUAAUCAGUGACACAGUUAAAACUAAAAAGUACUAAAAUGAAUAUUUGAUAAAUUUAGGUGGAGUAUAUGAAGUUUUUUGUAUAUAAUUUGAUAAAAUGUUAACAGAUAAGCUGACGAAAAGAAAAAAAUAAAACCACAGAUUACUAAAUUGAUACACUUUAAACUAUAUAAUACUAAAAUUAAAAAGUGUGAAACUAUAAAGAUGGUAUUUG